UACGGAGGGUGCAAGCGUUAUCCGGAAUCACUGGGUUUAAAGGGUGCGUAGGCGGCCUUGUAAGUCAGUCGUGAAAUCGCUGGGCUCAACCCAUGCAAUUGCGAUUGAUACUGCGAGACUUGAAUGGGGUUAAGGCAGGCGGAAUGUGGCAUGUAGCGGUGAAAUGCAUAGAUAUGCCAUAGAACACCGAUUGCGAAGGCAGCCUGCUGGGCCUUUAUUGACGCUGAGGCACGAAAGCGUGGGGAGCAAACAGGAUUAGAUACCCUGGUAGUCCACGCCCUAAACGAUGUUUACUUGCUGUUUGCCCUUUGGGGUGAGUGGCGUAGCGAAAGCGAUAAGUAAACCACCUGGGGAGUACGCCGGCAACGGUG
rnacentral:rRNA from 1 species